CAAGAUAAUAUAUAAAUGAGAAAGUUCACCCAUGAUAAGUUAAGAAGCUCAUUGAAAAACAUUAUCAUGAAAGUCCUGACAAAGAACACAAUUUUCCUUGCAUUUGGAGUGGUUGUUUUGUUGAUGGGUUUUGUAACUGCUUUACCAUCGAAACCAACUAAAAAAACUACCCACGAUGCAAACAAGUUUUAUUCUAGCGGAGGAAGAAAAUAGGCAUGAAAUAUUUUAAUCAAAUGAUGCAAUAUUGAAUACAUGUUUAUCACUGAAGCAAAUGCACUUGAAUGAACAUUUCAAAUUUCUUUCAACUAAUUUAUCAACGCAUCCAACAAUAAGAAGAACGUACAAUCCAAACCAAUAUUUUGCUAAUUUUGGCGGGAAAUAGUAAUGGCAUUCCUUUACAAUGUAUGGUUCAAUUGAAUAAAUGUAACAAUUUCAAACAAGUAA